rnacentral:lncRNA from 1 species
AACCAAGUUAGGUUGUGGAUAUCGUGGUUUAGAAAUGAUGGAUGGAAGCAAUGUGGUGGCUGCCGUAUGCUACAGAUCAGUCCAAAGCCCUGUAACAUUUGGAUGCUGUGCCCACGUGUAUGUGAAUUCAGGCGUUAGACCACCUUAUUCAGGGUGUGCUUUGAUCCUGGUUCUGUUACUGAGCUUAGGUUGCAUGCUGUACCCACAAACUCUGGUGGUCUCACUGAAAGGCAGAGUUUUAAGUUCUGUCCUGUAAAGCUUUAUCCAUUCUCCCGGGAUAGUACUUGGAAAAGAUGUUCUUCUUCAUGCAAUUUUGGGACACUGCCUGAAUGGCAUCCCUACAGCCAGGGGCUGCAGUAGUGGGAAGAAUUGGGUGGUGAAGCUCUGUUCCAGCAGGUUUCAAAGCCAGAAGCUCUGCGUAGACUGCUCAGUGCACUGCUUGAGCCCUGCUUGGGGAGCACCAAACCCAGCUCUGCUACACACCAGUGUGAGACCGGCAGCUGAAAGAAUAUGGGAUGCAACUGGAGUUCUGCAUGUGCCAACCUUCUAAAAAAAUACAUCUCUGAGCAGACAUACUUCAGGGGAGGUUCUCAGAUCACAAGUAGUGGAGCAGAUGCGCUGAGAAGAGGCACUUUCAGUGGUGUGUGCGGCAGAUUCAGCAGAUCCAGCCUCCUAUUUCCUGUUCUUCCAGUAUCAUCUGUUACUCAUGACGGCAUUUUGUAUAUUGUCCUUACACAACUGGCAGAGAGGUCAAAGUAA